GGGGUUGUGGCUCAAUGGUAAAGCACUCGCCUAGAACGUGUGAAGCCCUGGAUUCGAUCCUCAGCACCACA
rnacentral:tRNA from 1 species